UCGAGCGAGCUUGCCUAGAUGAUUUUAGUGCUUGCACUAAAUGAAACUAGAUACAAGCGAGCGGCGGACGGGUGAGUAACACGUGGGUAACCUGCCCAAGAGACUGGGAUAACACCUGGAAACAGAUGCUAAUACCGGAUAACAACACUAGACGCAUGUCUAGAGUUUGAAAGAUGGUUCUGCUAUCACUCUUGGAUGGACCUGCGGUGCAUUAGCUAGUUGGUAAGGUAACGGCUUACCAAGGCAAUGAUGCAUAGCCGAGUUGAGAGACUGAUCGGCCACAUUGGGACUGAGACACGGCCUAAACUCCUACGGGAGGCAGCAGUAGGGAAUCUUCCACAAUGGACGAAAGUCUGAUGGAGCAACGCCGCGUGAGUGAAGAAGGGUUUCGGCUCGUAAAGCUCUGUUGGUAGUGAAGAAAGAUAGAGGUAGUAACUGGCCUUUAUUUGACGGUAAUUACUUAGAAAGUCACGGCUAACUACGUGCCAGCAGCCGCGGUAAUACGUAGGUGGCAAGCGUUGUCCGGAUUUACUGGGCGUAAAGCGAGUGCAGGCGGUUCAAUAAGUCUGAUGUGAAAGCCUUCGGCUCAACCGGAGAAUUGCAUCAGAAACUGUUGAACUUGAGUGCAGAAGAGGAGAGUGGAACUCCAUGUGUAGCGGUGGAAUGCGUAGAUAUAUGGAAGAACACCAGUGGCGAAGGCGGCUCUCUGGUCUGCAACUGACGCUGAGGCUCGAAAGCAUGGGUAGCGAACAGGAUUAGAUACCCUGGUAAUCCAUGCCGUAAACGAUGAGUGCUAAGUGUUGGGAG
rnacentral:rRNA from 1 species